UUAAAAGUUGGACCAGAAGAUCUCUAUGGAUUUUUUCCUUUAAACCUACAAGCCUUCAGAGACAUGCAAGUUUACUCUAUGUAAUAGCCUUCAAGACAUUUUCCCAACCCUUUUCAUACUUACUGGGGCAAGAAGGAUGGAUCACCUGAUCACCACAAGAAUCAGCAGCCUGAUGAAGUACAAGUUUUAUUAUCUUUUCCAUGAAGCAUUCCUGAACUGGCAGGGGGGUCUUCCUGAAGUACAGCUGCCAUCCACUAAAGACCCAGCAGUUUUCAACCCUUUGAACUGGUAAGAUUUCCUGGAAGACCAAAAUGUCCAUCUUAGGCUCACCAGUAAGACACCGAUGCUCAGGAAAGAAACUCAAAGCAGCAGCCAGGGCUCUGGAACCCAUUCUCAAGCACCCCUAAGCUAGCGCAUGGGGAGGUCAGCCUCAUUUCAGCAGUUUGCCAUUUCUGCCGCCAGGAAGAGGCUUUCAAGAGUUCUGACAUGCCAAGAGGAAGAGAGGGAAUGACAGAGGAUGGACAGAGGGUAGGCCUUUUUAAAACCUGAAUCAGUUGCUUUUCCUUUUCAGUGGCAAAUAAAGGGAUUGUAUCAUUAUUGCUUUAUCAUUAGCAGUGAUCCACCCAUGUCCUUAGAAGUUGGCUGGGUAGUUCUCACCCCAGAGGAUGUCCCCUCUAGGCCUCUUCUCACGUAUGGUCUAUGAAGUACAAUUCCUGUUAUGCGAGAAUCCUUCUGAAGGCCCAGCUCAAAUUUCACGUCUUCUGAAAAGCCUUUUCCAAAGUUAAAGGUUUUAUAACCCCAACCUAUCUUUCCUAAGAACUUCUAUAGUACUUAGGCAAUUACUCAAGGCCUGUCUUUUAACAAUUGUCAUCUAUAUCUAUUGAAAUCUUAAAUGAGAAAAACUUUCCGAAACUCAAUAUUCUUUCGUUUCCAUAACAUUUAUACAGUACCUACUACAUGCCACAUACUGUUCUAACUA